rnacentral:rRNA from 1 species
UCUUGGUCAGGAUGAACGCUGGCGGCGUGCUAACACAUGCAAGUCGAACGGAGUUUUAACGGAAGUUUCGGAUGGAAGUUAGAAACUAGUGGCGGACGGGUGAGUAACGCGUGGGUAACCUGCCUCAUACAGGGGGAUAACAGUUAGAAAUGACUGCUAACACCGCAUAAUAUAGCGAAACCGCAUGACUUUGCUAUCAAAUAUUUAUAGGUAUGAGAUGGGCCCGCGUCUGAUUAGCUAGUUGGUGGGGUAAAAGCCUACCAAGGCGACGAUCAGUAGCCGGCUUGAGAGAGUGACCGGCCACAUUGGGACUGAGACACGGCCCAAACUCCUACGGGAGGCAGCAGUGGGGAAUAUUGGACAAUGGGGGAAACCCUGAUCCAGCGAACCGCCGCGUGAGUGAAGAAGUAUUUCGGUAUGUAAAGCUCUAUCAGCAGGGAAGAUAAUGACAGUACCUGACUAAGAAGCCCCGGCUAACUACGUGCCAGCCGCUGC